UGAGUUAAUUGUAUCCAUUGGGUAAAUUUGAAGAGAUGAGUUCGAUCAGAUCGUUGAUUCCCAGAGAAGAAACAGUUGGUCGGCGGCAAGGGGUUUUGUUCGUCGUCGUCAGCUUCUUAUUUCUUCUAAUAUUUCUCUAUGCCGCCUUUAUUUCCAAGCUUCUUCCACCUUCAAACAACGCCUUCUUAUCUGCUAUUCAAAACGACUGGCAUUACUGUCUCCUUGUGCCCUUGACAUUACCUAUCCUUUACGUUGCCGUUUAUUUCCAUUGGCUGAGUAUGAAACUAUUCAAGCAUGCUUGAUCAUGCCGUCGAAUGAAGAUGAAGGGUUCGAACUAGUUGAGUGUCUAAAACUUGGGAAGAUUCAACCACCUUCUAUCUUCGGUUGAAUAACGAUGUGAUAUGUUUGGAAUUUUCAGUACCUAAGGCGAUAGAGGAUGUACAGGUGAACUACCGGAGAUAUAUAAUGAUCAUGCCGAGCAAAUUCCAUAUCUGCGAGUGUCUUGGAGUGAUUUUUGUAGAGGCUUUUGUUAUAAAAUAUUCACCUAUUGUUGUUGAAUGAUAUGGGUAUAUUAUUAACAAAACCAAUCUAGGGAGAACGAAAACCAACUUAGCUUAUGGUUGAUAUGAACAGGUCUUGCGUCUUGAAAAUUGCUUGAUUCUACUUUGAGUACUCCUUUUUAUUUAUCCUUUACGGUCAAUUUCCCAUUUUGUGAUAGAAAUUUUUUGAAUCUAUCAAUGAUACUGAUAGACAAUUAUCACUUCCAUCAA